rnacentral:lncRNA from 1 species
CCGCCGCGUGUACUGCGCAGCGACGCCGCUAGAGGCGCCACGACCCUUGUUGUGUUUCAAAGGUUGUCGAAUCAGAGGCCGGUUGGAAUUGAGUGUAAUUGGGUGGUGAGUCGCACGUCUCUCGGCGCUUUAGCACCAUGGCGGAAUGGAGCAGCCAGGCGCCCACAGGGAGGGCGGUUUCCGGUGAAAUUUCGGAAGAGCUGGAGAAUAUAAGAAUGAUGCUCGAGUACCUCCAACAGCUUUUGCUCGAGCUCCGGCAACUGUUCUGUCAGUCCUUGCACCGACUGUAUAGAAGACGCUAA